UACAGAGGUCUCAAGCGUUGUUCGGAAUCACUGGGCGUAAAGCGUGCGUAGGCUGUUUCGUAAGUCGUGUGUGAAAGGCGCGGGCUCAACCCGCGGACGGCACAUGAUACUGCGAGACUAGAGUAAUGGAGGGGGAAACGGAAUUCUCGGUGUAGCAGUGAAAUGCGUAGAUAUCGAGAGGAACACUCGUGGCGAAGGCGGGUUCCUGGACAUUAACUGACGCUGAGGCACGAAGGCCAGGGGAGCGAAAGGG
rnacentral:rRNA from 1 species